CGUCGUCAAGGGCUCCUUGUUGAACGUAGCGAAGUGUUCUUAUGGGCAGGGGGGCAUGGCCCCCCUACCUCCCUCUACCUCGCUCGCACAAAUUGCUCUAUGAGACACAGGCGAGGCCAGCGCGCCCCGCCGUCGCUACACGUCGUCGAGCAUGGAAUUCGACCUCCCCCGCUCCAGAGACGACAUCGACAUUCACCGGUCGAGCUUCCCCGUUUGAGCUCAUAUAAGAGAAAAUUGCUUCCUGGAGGCUUCAGUUCGAGGACCCUGCCGAAGAAGUUUACAACCUGCUGGGCAAGUAGGCCAAAAUCUUCGACGCUCCGCUUACUGAUACUGAUCCAAGCCCUGACGAAGCACCCAGUGCAUGCCUGCCGCAGUGGCAAGGUUGCUUAGUACUGUAGAUGAUUCCUCUAUAGUUCUUGUUUCUCUUGGUGUUUUCAUUUCCCAGUGUCAAGAACUCAAGAUGCAAUGUGUUAGUGUGGAACCCCAGGGGGCUUAACUCCCUGGCUAGAAGAGGUGUUGUGAGUUCCUUGGUUAGUGUCAACUGUCAAUUCUACUAUUGUCUGUAUGCAAGAAUCGAAGCUCGGUGUUGUUGAUUA